rnacentral:rRNA from 1 species
GAUGAACGCUGGCGGCGUGCCUAAUACAUGCAAGUCGAGCGGCAGCGCGGUCUUCGGACUGGCGGCGAGCGGCGGACGGCAGAGUAACGCGUAGGAACAUACCCCAAAGUGAGGGAUAACUGCCCGAAAGGGUGGCUAAUACCGCAUGUGAUCUUCGGAUUAAAGCUUUAUGCGCUUUGGGAAUGGCCUGCGUUGGAUUAGCUUGUUGGUGAGGUAAUGGCUCACCAAGGCGACGAUCCAUAACUGGUCUGAGAGGAUGAUCAGUCUGACUGGAACUGAUACACGGUCCAGACUCCUACGGGAGGCAGCAGUGGGGAAUAUUGCACAAUGGGCGAAAGCCUGAUGCAGCAACGCCGCGUGAGCGAUGAAGGCCUUCGGGUCGUAAAGCUCUGUCCUCAAGGGAGAUAAUGACGGUACUUGAGGAGGAAGCCCCGGCUAACUACGUGCCAGCCGCCGCGGUAACAC